rnacentral:misc_RNA from 1 species
UAUAAGUUUAUAGGCACAGAGGCCAUUGAUCACAUUCUAUAACAAAGAAUUCGGGUAUAUGAAGAAACAUAGGCCUAGAAAUGUAAGGAGAGACUCGAAGUCAAUCCUCGAACCUGAGUGACUAGCAUUCAGAGAGUUAUCUAGGUCUACAAAAGGUGCACAGGUGGAGAUAUAAAGAUGACAAGCGUGCACAUGCUCUCAAGAGGGCCAGCAGCAACUCAUCAGAUUUAUUUCAAUAAUGAUCCUUCCGCAGGUUCACCUACGGAAA